CUGCAUACAAAGUUGUCUAUUUGCCUUCUGUUUGUAAGUAACAGUUUAAGAUUAAUUGUACAUGUGAACUGAGAUAGUUCAUUGGAGUAAAUUUAUUUCAUCUAUUUUUAUUCUGUAAUGUGCUUCAUGACCGUUCUAUCUGAACAGCUCCCAAACAUUAUUUUUCAUCUAUACCCUGUUGAACAGUACAAAAUAUUCCUAUUGUUAAUGUCGUGAAGGCCAGCUGGGGAAAAAAAAUGGACGUGGUAAAUUAACUGAGGUGUUGUUGUGAUGUAUGGUGCAAUAUAAUGCCACCAAAGUGGAAAAUUGUGCAUAUUUUUUUAUAGUCCUAAUGACAGGCGCUUCACAAGGUGCGAUUACAGAUACCAGCGUUGUUACUAUGUAUUUUGGUGUCGCAAGCUGACGUUUUAUAUAGAGACAAUUAUACUUUCCUUUCCAGGAGCAACUUAAACUUAACUGGAACAGGGUGCCUGUCCAGAAGAGACUCUCUUCAGCAGCCCAGUGGAAGAGGGGUGGCACAUCCUGUAGCCUGCAUGACUGAUGAUAAAUGUGGACCAAACAAAGCAUUGCAGGACUUCCCCAUCACUGGCGCCACAUUCUGCACGAGACAAUACCUGAAAUAUUAUAAAAGGGGAUACUGUUAGAAGGUUUACACCUAAAUUUGUGUUUAUUUAUGUUUUUGUCAUUUAUAAUAUUAAAACUUUUAUAUGAAGUACACUGUUUUAAAGCUGAGCAAGGAUUUAAUUUUGUGCAAGCUACAAGACAACAGUUACUCCUAACGCUAUGUUUUUCGUAACUCGCAGGCGGGCGUCCCAAGUCCAGG
rnacentral:lncRNA from 1 species